rnacentral:lncRNA from 1 species
UGUGGGUUUUCUCUGCUUGUAGCAGUCCCAACAUACAGGAAACGUACAAUUAAAAGCACUCGAAAGGAAGUCAAGCUGGGGAAGAGCCUCCUUGGGUACGCAGAACAAAGUCACAGUGCCCACGGGAAGGCAGUGCCGUGUGAUGAGGAGCUGCGCCAGGGCUGGAGAAAGCCUGAGUCCUGCUGCAUCCCGAAGGAAGCAGAGAUGAUGGGCUUGUGUGACUUCAAGCAUAAGAAACAACUGCUUCUGAAAGGAAAUUUCUUUUGCAAUGCCUCCAAAAGUGACAUCCAUUGAAAAAGUCUCACCUCUCUAAGCAGGCACUGUACAUAUUCAACUGAAGAGAGCCUUACAGAUUUGUUCCUGCUAAGAAGCUAGCGUGACGUUACCACAGUGUUGCUCCGUCAGCGGGCAGUGGCACAUAGCAGGCAUGGACCCAGGCAUGCAGUACAGCCAGCACACAGCCCUGCCGAGAGCCCACCAUGCACAUCUCUGCCUUGCUUCACCACUUUGGCCCAAGCUCCUGAGCCAAUGUCUCUGUCCCACAUUCAGCUCCAAGCAUUCUGAAGAAUGUCGAGGAGCAGAGUGUGAGUGGCUGUGAAAUUAAGCUGGGACUCAGGAGAGCAGUCUAUAAUUGUCACAAGGUUCCUGUGCGGCCAUUGCAAGGU